rnacentral:piRNA from 1 species
UAUUGUAAGAAGAAAUGGUGAAUCUGAAAC